rnacentral:rRNA from 1 species
AACGAACGCUGACGGCAUGCCUAACACAUGCAAGUCGAACGAGACCUUCGGGUCUAGUGGCGCACGGGUGCGUAACGCGUGGGAACCUGCCCUUAGGUUCGGAAUAACUCCCCGAAAGGGGUGCUAAUACCGGAUAAUGUCUUCGGACCAAAGAUUUAUCGCCUUUGGAUGGGCCCGCGUUGGAUUAGCUAGUUGGUAGGGUAAAAGCCUACCAAGGCGACGAUCCAUAGCUGGUCUGAGAGGAUGAUCAGCCACACUGGGACUGAGACACGGCCCAGACUCCUACGGGAAGCAGCAGUGGGGAAUAUUGGACAAUGGGCGAAAGCCUGAUCCAGCAAUGCCGCGUGAGUGAUGAAGGCCUUAGGGUUGUAAAGCUCUUUUACCCGGGAUGAUAAUGACAGUACCGGGAGAAUAAGCUCCGGCUAACUCCGUG